UGAUGAUGAUGAUGAGGAAGAUACGACAUGUCGCUGGGGUUGCUCUGGACAUGGCAAGGAUAGUAGCAAACACGUCCGGACCCUUUGUGAAACCUGACUGGCCCGGGAUGUACAAUCGGCGGCGAAGCGUACCGUUUCGGAGGCGAAACAUACCCCUUCAGAGGCGAAACAUACCGUUUGGGAGGCGAAUCGGUGAACGAUAAGAGCGAUUUCGAAGGGGACAAAUCGCCGCCACUCGUAGCCAUAGACAUAGGAGGCGAGAUUUGCUUCAGCGAUUUCGGCGGCGAGAGAAUGGCUCUGAUCUUUAGAGGACGAGACGAAGAAGAAGCUCG
rnacentral:lncRNA from 1 species